GGCGAUGUGCCCGAGUGGCCAAUGGGAGCGGACUGUAAAUCCGUCGGCUUAGCCUACCCAGGUUCGAAUCCUGGCGUCGCCAC
rnacentral:tRNA from 11 species